GCCGGAGUGGCGGAAUCGGUAGACGCGCCGGACUCAAAAUUCGGUGAGGGAAACCUCGUGUGGGUUCGAGUCCCACCUCCGGUA
rnacentral:tRNA from 1 species